GUUAUAUUAGUUCGCACUUUGCUCGCCAGGGCAAUGAUGCAUGUUAACGCGCGGAAUUAUUACCAGGCGCUUUAUCUUCACAUAUGGGAGAAAAUCUCCACGUUGUGUUUCACGGUCAAUUUGCCACCUAUCCAUGGUCCGGGAAAGCCACCCUUAACGUGCAUCAGAAAAGUUCACGCAUGACGUUGCAUGGCGAUGCACUUGGAGAUGACCUUUUUUUACGCCGUAUCGAGUCUUUUACUGAUGUUGCUAUAGUUCGUUGACUUUAAAAUCCAGUGCAUUUUUGCAAAUUGCACAUUUCUAUGGACAUUCUAAGGGUUACAAUACCCCUUGUUGCUUGUUCACGACAGGGUAUUUAUGUAGAACCGCUGGCACUGAGUGUGCGAUCUUCGUAGAAAUCCUAAUGAUUUGAAAUACACAGAGCAUCGUUACGCAUAUGUGGAAACGUACGAGUGCCCACGUACUUCGUCUACAACUCGUGAACAUGGAAGACGUACUUUGGUACGAAGAGAAUAUGGAACACGCAAGAGUCAUAUAUGGGCUGCUAGGAUAUAUCUUGACGGCGAUCACGUAUAUAAUACUGGAAGCAGAG